ACCAGACUGCUACCUAUUUUUGUUUUCAUGGUGUUACACUUUUUUCUGGUGUUUCACUUUGUGUGAUUCGCUUCUAUCUUAGAAUAUGUCUUUUUUUUUACGCUACGUCUUGUUGCCAAAUCCUUGACUCUCAUCUAUUAACUCAAUGCUCUCAUCACCGCUGCUAUGCACGAGAAUCACCAUGACCAUCGGCAGCAGACAGCAUCAGCAACGCAGGAAGGCCGGCACAGUCGACAAGUGCGUUUCUGCUGAAUCCUCGCUGUAAACUACCGGAACCAGCUCGAUUUUAUCGCGAGUGUGCAAAGGGCGGCCUUGGCUCUUGGACUGAGAACUCCACCCACGCUCAAGCAGGGCCCGUCGACCGAUCCCGUGGUCUUUUUUUUUUUUUUCAAUAGAUGUUUUCUCUAAUCAGCAA